ensembl:lncRNA
AUUUAUUAGAGCCCUAAGCUGAAAAUGAGCCAAAGAGCCAUCACUAGCAGAACAGAGAAAUCUAUUGCGAUACACUCACGCACCACACCGUCAAUAAGGCGAGUACAGGUCACAGUAUGAGCAAAGGCAGCCAGAUAUGAAAGCACACCACCCGCAGGGCGCAGCUUCUGUGAAGAAUGAGGCGAAGUCUGCCGGCUCGGGUUUGCUCUGGGUGGACUGAGAGCUGGGGCGGAGGUGGGGAGCGUCCUCUCCCACGGGUGUCCUACAUUCGCGAACCUCCAUCAGCCGAUGCACAGGACCAACCUUCAUUCUUCAGGGCAGCGAUGAGCUAAGGAGAACGGCCCUUCCUCCUCCGUGGCUUCCAGGCACUGUGCUCCCAUCAAACACCGCGGAGCGCCCGAGACCCGAAGGCGGGGUUGCUGAGGUGUGGGAGCUACGUGGCUUCUUCUCGUCUCAAGGAGCAAGCUGGAGCACUGGGACGUGCGCCAGCUGCCUCCCGCCGGGGUCCCAGGGCGGGCGGAGGGCAGAGCGGGAAGGGCCUGUCCGGGUGGCUAUGGAGUGAGCGCCUUCAGGGCUCCGGAACGUCCCAGCUGUCUUCCCGUGCGGCGCCCCUUCUUCCGUGUCAACUGCGGCUUCCCCCUGGUGCAGUCCUGGCCCCAAGGUCCCCCGACCAGGGCCCACCGUGCGCCUUCUCUGUGAGCCAUUUCCUCCCCGACCCUGCGGCUGCGAUGUGGCCUGGCAGCAGCCCGCCGCGUCUGGAAGCAGGGCCACCGCGAAGCCCGUGGGAAGACGUCCCUGCAGCCUGCAGGACCCAGCGCGGAUUCCACAUGCCUGCGUGGCGCUGCCCAGGACCACCCGACUUGCCGGCCCCACUGCGCGGGCCGCACGGCUCGGCUCGCAGUACCAGGCGCUGGGAGCGCAGGGGAGGAAGCCGCGCUCUGGUCUUCACCUGGUUCCUACUUGGGCCCAAACGGGAAGGGACACCAAACACGUCUGCUGUCUCCCGGAGGGAGGCGGGUGUUGCUCAUGCCUGCAGGGGGCUGGAGGAGCGAGGGGCUCUGAGGACCCCAGGGGCGAGAAGAACGGCCAGGGAGGUGCAGAGCAGCAGGGCGCGGCGCGGCGCGGCAUUACGGACCACGGACCACACGCUGCCACUGGCGUAUCAUCCACUGUUUCCAGGAAUUCACUGCUUUUUAAAAAUUGGACUAUAAGACACUCAUGGAUAAAAUUCCCAACUUAGGCUUCUCCGUGUCUCCUGACUCCAAACAAUCAAAUUCUGGGCACUCAGACAAAAAUAAAAGAUUAAGGGCAAACUCAAGAAGAGUCUCUUAAAAGGUACGAGAGUCUGAAUUUAUUUAAUUUUAUUUUUAUUUUUAUUUUUUUUUGGUACUGGGGAUUGAACUCAGGACCUUGUGCUUGCAUGGCAGGUGCCGGAACCACUGAGCUAAAUCCCGGCCCGAGAAUUUGAAUUUUAAACAUUUUGAGAAUAUCCCACCAGACUUGGAAUAUAAAGGAAACCCUCUAAGGAGACCAGACUGAACUUUAAUCGAGGAGUUGCAAUAAUCAGGCCAAGCUGAGGCUGCGCCUCGUCUCCCCUGGACUUUCUGCCCCUGAGCCCCACAUCUGAGUCUGUAGGGCUGCCGCACAGGAGCAUGUGAGUUACUCAGUGUAACUGUGUGACUGGCAGCCUGGGACACGGUUGCUGUCAGAGUCUGCUGUUUGCCACUUAAUGGCUCUGCAGUCCUGGGCAACACACUUAGACACCCAGGUCUCAGGUGCUACCUUGUAAAGCAGAGAUAAGUAUAUCUACUUUGUCAAGAUGAAACAUAAUGCAUUUUUGCAGUAUAAUACGCUCCCGAUAAUGUAAGCUGUCUUUUUUCUUCUCCCUCCUUUUUCUUUAGAUGUGUUAGGAAGAUAUUUUUUAGGAACAGAGAGCCAAGGGAACAGAGAAUGAAAAGAUUCCGAACAGCUGAGGGAGCCUCGCAGGCGGUGAUAGAUAGAUGAGCAGACAGGAGUUUUAAGACAUUCUUUGGAUUUGCCGUAUUUCGUGCAGUUUUUGGCAGAUGCCCCACCCCUGGGGUUAAGACUGAAGUUGGAGGUUUUUUGGGGCCUGACAUUGGGCUGGGAUUGGCCACAAGGAAGGGCUGCAUCCUGGGCACUAUCUACCUGGAGGAAGAGGUUUGGGGACAUGGUGGCUGCCACCCACGUUCUCAAGGCUGUCACUGGACAAGCAGUCCUCUUCGGGCUGACGUGGCUGAGGCACAGGUCUGUCCUCACAACACUGCUGUGGGUCCGGACCGCUGGCUGCAGGCGGAGGUCCUCCGUCUAUCUCAAGGAUUUGCUCUGGGGGUCGGGUGAGGACCCUCGCUGUCCCUCCCAGACCCUCCGUGCCAACUGCCCUGCUCUCCAGCAGGAGCCCUGUGCUCCACCAAGGCGCCGUCCUGCUGCUCCACUGCCACCCUCUGAACAGAAAGGCUCCCAGGUGUGAGCAGAUCCAAGGCAGCAGUGCAGUCUCCAGAGCCAAUGAUGGAGGCCACUCGCUCCCGUUUUCUUUUUCACGGGGCUGGAGUUACAGCAGUGUGGGGUUCCAUGCAGCAGCCAUAGUUCCCAGGGAAGCAGAAUGGGCUGGCAGCUUCCCAGGUCCCACAGCACGGGGCACAUAAACCCCUUCCCCGGGGCCUGGCCGAUGCCCUUGUGCCCAGGGGAAGCCGCCUUCUCUUCAGUCACCGGGGACUUCCUGCUGCAGUCCCAGGCAGUGCUGGUGACCAUGCCCAGUUGCCUGAGGGAGGACAGGCUAUGGCCACGAGGCCAGGACAGGAGAAGGCCGCACAGAGGAGGCCGGAAAGGCCCGGGGCAAGGCCGGCCCUCCGUCGACCAGGCCCACGCCCAGGGGAGAGCCAGCCGCAGCUCUGACAGCUUUAUCUUUCCUGGUUUGUCAGACUGGAACCAAGGCCUGCUGAUGCCUCCGUGAAGGUAUAAAUGGUCCCUGCCCGGCCGGCCGAGGAGCACUCUGUCCCCCGAAGGAGAGGCCCUUCCUCCGGGCCUUGGCCAGGCUACGAGCUCCAGGCACAUCCAUCUGGGCCUGGCUGGGCCUCUUGCUGUGCAGGACAGGGCAGCACUGAGCUCGGUGCUGCCCAGAAGGAGCAGGUCCCCGGCCCUUCCCUGAAUCCCUUCCCCUCUCAUCCGGCUCUGCCAUCCUGGAAUCUAAGCAUCCAUUACAUAUUUGUAGUCGCACAAAAAAAUAGUGUCUCUCAUUUUCUGAAACUGAAAUAAAUUGCUGGUAUGAAUUCCUGCUCUAGUGGAUAUCAAAAACUUAACUGCAGUCAGUUAGGUGCGAGUACUCUUCUGUCCUGUAACCACCCUUAGCUCAGGAGCACAGGAGCAGAGCCGUGACACGGACGGAUCAGAGACUUGCAGGGCUGCUUCAGAAAGGCCAGGACAAUGGGAUGAGUGUGACUCAAGUGAGGCGAGUACUUUGAGAGGGCUUAGUAGCAGUGUGUCUUUACUGUAAUAAAGAUUUAAGAUGUUAAACACUCACAGUAUAUUUGGAGCGCACCUCACUUCUCAGUUGUCCUGCUCUAGCCAGGCCUUCAUCUUCGUGAUGUGGGUGUUCUGGCCCCAUGCUCCCCAUUGAGGUGGACUUGUGACCCAGGCCCGGGCAGUCAAAGAGCAAGCAAGCCCUGGAGAACACACCCAGAGUGGACGUGGCCUAAGAAGGCGAACUUCCAGUAUGAGCAGCAUAUCCCUUUAGAACGCUUUCUGGGAAACUGUCCCCCCGGAAGAUGAGCUCCAUCUCAGGAUAAAAGAGAUGACCAACCCCAUCUCACAAGGCACAAAAUCCUCACCACAGUACUGCUAUUUCCACAUCCUGAGCUCCCUGCAGAACAGGCAUCCAGGGUCAAGCCAUUUAUUUUCAUAUGGCUUUUGAAAAAAUACCAUUUUCCCAACAAUAGCCUGAAAUUAUUUUUCAAAUAAUAGAGAUUUUCUUUAUUGCCCACCAGUCCAAAUCCGUGGGUGUGUGGGGCAGGAUGCUUAUGAGCCAUGACUUUGCAGGGCACUCACACUGUGAAAUGUGUUCCGCUUUGGGGAGUUCCAUCUGCAGCGUUUCUACGUUAAUCUCCCAGCUGUCCAGGUCUUGCCUCCUGACAUUACACCCUUGCCAGUCCUCUGCCCUCAUCAGUCAUCUCCAAGUUCUAUCUGAUAAAUGCAUUUUAACUAUAUCCACAUGUAUCGCUAUGACUUGGUUUAGAAUUAACAAUCUCCCUUCUCAUCUUAUAUCAAAAUCAUCUCAGGAACUUUAAAAAAAUAUUGCUGCAUUUGGUCAUCCUCAGAUAAGUGGCUCAACUCAUCUGGAACAAUCAUCAGCAAUCUGAGUGUCAUUAUCAAGGUAAGGUUGACAAGAAGUUGUCUUCUUUGUCCAAGAAUGAUCAUUUUUCCUCUGAAGAGCCUCCACAUAUCCUGCAGCACCUUCCCAUGCGACUUCCAUCUGCAGCACUGCUGGGAAGCCCAGCCAGGGGUCCAGCAGGGCUGUGACAACCCUUGAGCAACCAGGCAACACGCUGGCCAUGCUGUGCUCUGUGCAGUGCCCUUCAGCCAUGCAUCAGUCUACUCGGCUUCUGUAAAAUCAGAAUCAAUGAAAUAUCCUGGACUUUUGGUACGGCAAAUGAAAUUGUCCAAAAGAGGCCCUGGGAAUUCUCUCCGAGUUGUGGGAUGAAAGAGAAUGAGGCCCAGGGUGGCUCCCAGGUCAGGAGGCGACACCUGCAUCCUUCCCCGUGGUCUCCAGAGAAUUCAGGUCACACUGCCACGUGUGACUCUGAGGGAUCCACUUCCUGCUACCACCAUGGCUCACGGAGGAGCCUGUCUGUCUCUGGGCAAAGAAGGCCCUAGCAGGAACAUGCAGGGCUAUCCAGCACCCAAGGGUGGGAGAGAAGAGAAACACACGCUCUUUUCUUGCUGACCCUUUCUUUGUAACUCUCAAGAGCCCUGUCUGAAACCAUAACCAGUGGGGUGAGCUUCUACCCGGUCGGUCUGCGUUGCCCGAUGGAUUUGCAGAGUCCGCUGGGUACUUAUUUUGAGUCACUUGUCUUUGUCGGGAUGCUGUGGCCGCCUGCUGCCUCGUGCCCCCUCCCUCUGCACAUCCCCCUCCUCAGCCACUGGGAAACCCGUUGUCCUUCAGGAUCUCCCUGUGCACUAUGAACGCUCAGGCCCCGGCCUGCGUCCGUCCCCACCUGGUGCUCCCGGAAGGGUGCGGCCUCAACGUCCUCAGAGCUGGGCUUUAUUUCGCAGGCCUGGCUCAUUCUGGAAGUCUGAGGCUCAUCAGCCUUUUUAUAGUUCACUGUUAUUACAUAACUGUUACAUAGCAGUGGUGAAUGAUUAAAAAGUGCCAAAAAACAAAAUACCACCCAGGGAUACUUUCUAAAACUUUUGUUGAUGCAAUUUCAAAUCAUAAUGAAUACAAUGGCUUAACCCACUACCAAUUUCCUGAAACCUACUUUUUUUCUUAAUGAAAAAUAUGGCAACUCAUUGUUUUUGUUUUUUUGGUACUGGGGCUCGAACUCAGGUCCUUGUGCUUGUGCAGCAGGCUGCGAAACCACUGAGCUAAAUCCCCGGCCAUCAUUGUUAUUUUUAUUUGCAUUUAUAUGGUUUGCAGCAAAAUUGAACACUUCAAAUAGGUUUGCUAGUGAAUUUGUAUUUCCUUUUGUUUCUUCCUUGUUCAUAGAUUUUUGUUUUUCUAUAACUCAUCUAUUAAUUGAGGAGUAUCAAAUCCUUAUUUAGUGAGUAUGUUAAUUCUAUCAGCUAUGUGAACAUUGUUUAUAGUGUAAAUAUUUAAAUUACUUCAUGAGUUUGUUUUUACUUUAAACACUUAAAGUUUAUAUUUCAGAAAUUUUCUAUUUUUUAGUGCAGUCUGUGUCUACCUUGGUGUCACACUUAGAGAAAGCAUUCCUUACUCUAAUUAUUGAAAUUUUUUCCUAAAAGUAAUUCCAUGGUUAUAUUUGAGUCUUUGACCUACUUUAGUACAUUUCCUUUCCUUCUCUUUUCCAUUUUCAUCUUUCAGCAAAUGCUUAAUAGGAUAUUGCCAUUGGGGAAGUAAACAAAGAUUGCCUAUCUCGAGUUGACAUGCCAAGGAGAAUAGUAGGUAACAAACACAAGAGCAAAUACUAUGGAUUGUACCAGAGGCAGGUGCUAGACCAGCACUCGGGAGUGUGGUAAGCUGAGGGUGGGGUGGGGGCGCUGCACAUGGGAGCGAGUCAUGGAAGAAUGUUUUCGUCCUUCCUUGCUCCUUUAAGGCAGCCUGAGAGCUGGGAGCUCAACAGCCUGCUGGCACCAUGCUUGAAAUUCUAUACAUCAGGCUGUUUUAGGCCAAGUCCAAAUAAAUAGAUUUUUAACUAUUUGAGGUCUACUUGCUCCGCACCAAAACUGUGCCAGGCACCUGGCAGCCUUGGGCAGAUGACCUCCAGGCUGUGCGUGUCCAUUGGAGGAAGGCUGGGGCUUGGGUAGAGACGGUUCAGGUCACAGUAAAUACAGAGGUCUCCAGGCGUCGCGAGGUUAAUUUUGCUCAGAAAAGUGUGCAGGAGCACAGGACAUGCCAG